rnacentral:rRNA from 1 species
GAUGAACGCUGGCGGCGUGCUUAACACAUGCAAGUCGAACGGAAAGGCCCAAGCUUGCUUGGGUACUCGAGUGGCAAACGGGUGAGUAACACGUGGGUGAUCUGCCCUGCACUUCGGGAUAAGCCUGGGAAACUGGGUCUAAUACCGGAUAGGACGAUGGUUUGGAUGCCAUUGUGGAAAGUUUUUUCGGUGUGGGAUGAGCUCGCGGCCUAUCAGCUUGUUGGUGGGGUAAUGGCCUACCAAGGCGUCGACGGGUAGCCGGCCUGAGAGGGUGUACGGCCACAUUGGGACUGAGAUACGGCCCAGACUCCUACGGGAGGCAGCAGUGGGGAAUAUUGCACAAUGGGGGCAAGCCUGAUGCAGCGACGCCGCGUGGGGGAUGACGGCCUUCGGGUUGUAAACUCCUUUCGCUAGGGACGAAGCGUUUUUGUGACGGUACCUGGAGAAGAAGCACCGGCUAACUACGUG